GAGCAAAGGGGCCGGAUAAAGUGCCGAUCUUUGCAUUGAAGGUUGGCGGCCGCGAUUGCAGUUCUCCAUGCCGCUCAGAUUUUCCUAUGUUUUGUGACGGCCUCGAACAAGCUGCUACAUC
rnacentral:snoRNA from 4 species